AGAUAUGGGUCCGCCAGGAAGAGCAUGUUCUUGGGCAAGUCAGCUCUCGGCAACUGAGGCAAGAAGAAACUGGGGAUUCUCUUCUGACAGCUGAUACAAGCCCUCCCUUGAAAGGGUUACAGGCACUGCAUCUCUAUGCCCACCACCCAAAGGUUUGUGUGUGGACAUACGUUUUCAACUCCUCGAGUAAACACCAAGGAGUGCUAUUGCUGAAUCCUAUGAAGUACCAGAGACUGAAUCAUCUGCUGAGUAGACGUGAACCUUAGAAAUGAUCUGGUCCAGCUUCUUCGGUUUACAAAAACACCGUG